rnacentral:rRNA from 1 species
AGCAGCCGCGGUAAUUCCAGCUCCAAUAGCGUAUAUUAAAGUUGUUGCAGUUAAAAAGCUCGUAGUUGAAUUUCGGGGUUAGUAGGUUGGUCAUGCCUCUGGUAUGUACUGGUCUCACUGAUUCCUCCUUCCUGAUGAACCGUAAUGCCAUUAAUUUGGUGUUGCGGGGAAUUUGGACUGUUACUUUGAAAAAAUUAGAGUGUUUAAAGCAAGCUAACGCUUGAAUACAUUAGCAUGGAAUAAUGAAAUAGGACGUUCGAUCCUAUUUUGUUGGUUUCUAGGAUUGACGUAAUGAUUAAUAGGGAUAGUUGGGGGCAUUAGUAUUCAAUUGUCAGAGGUGAAAUUCUUGGAUUUAUUGAAGACUAACUACUGCGAAAGCAUUUGCCAAGGAUGUUUUCAUUAAUCAAGAACGAAAGUUAGGGGAUCGAAGACGAUCAGAUACCGUCGUAGUCUUAACCAUAAACUAUGCCGACUAGGGAUCGGAUGAUGUAU